rnacentral:sRNA from 1 species
CCCUAGCCCGGAUGGAAGCGGCAUCCUUUUGCGGCGAGCGCAGCAGAGCCUUAAAAGAUAUAGCGGACAGCCGGAUUGGCU